UACGUAGGGUCCGAGCGUUGUCCGGAAUUACUGGGCGUAAAGAGCUCGUAGGUGGUUUGUCGCGUUGUUCGUGAAAACUCACAACUCAAUUGUGGGCGUGCGGGCGAUACGGGCAGACUAGAGUACUGCAGGGGAGACUGGAAUUCCUGGUGUAGCGGUGGAAUGCGCAGAUAUCAGGAGGAACACCGGUGGCGAAGGCGGGUCUCUGGACAGUUCCUGACGCUGAGGCACGAAGGCCAGGGGAGCAAACGGG
rnacentral:rRNA from 1 species